rnacentral:rRNA from 1 species
GAGGACGGUUCGGAUUAUUGGGCGUAAGAGCUCGUAGGCGGUUUGUCGCGUCUGCCGUGAAAGUCCGGGGCUCAACUCCGGAUCUGCGGUGGGUACGGGCAGACUAGAGUGAUGUAGGGGAGACUGGAAUUCCUGGUGUAGCGGUGAAAUGCGCAGAUAUCAGGAGGAACACCGAUGGCGAAGGCAGGUCUCUGGGCAUUAACUGACGCUGAGGAACGAAAGCAUGGGGAGCGAACAGGAUUAGAUACCCUGGUAGUCCAUGCCGUAAACGUUGGGCACUAGGUGUGGGGGACAUUCCACGUUUUCCGCGCCGUAGCUAACGCAUUAAGUGCCCCGCCUGGGGAGUACGGCCGCAAGGCUAAAACUCAAAGGAAUUGACGGGGGCCCGCAUAAGCGGCGGAGCAUGCGGAUUAAUUCGAUGCAACGCGAAGAACCUUACCAAGGCUUGACAUGAACCGGUAAGACCUGGAAACAGGUCCCCCACUUGUGGCCGGUUUACAGGUGGUGCAUGGUUGUCGUCAGCUCGUGUCGUGAGAUGUUGGGUUAAGUCCCGCAACGAGCGCAACCCUCGUUCCAUGUUGCCAGCGCGUUAUGGCGGGGACUCAUGGGAGACUGCCGGGGUCAACUCGGAGGAAGGUGGGGACGACGUCAAAUCAUCAUGCCCCUUAUGUCUUGGGCUUCACGCAUGCUACAAUGGCCGGUACAAAGGGUUGCGAUACUGUGAGGUGGAGCUAAUCCCAAAAAGCCGGCCUCAGUUCGGAUUGGUCUGCAACUCGACCCCAUGAAGUCGGAGUCGCUAGUAAUCGCAGAUCAGCAACGCUGCGGUGAAUACGUUCCCGGGCCUUGUACACACCGCCCGUCAAGUCACGAAAGUUGGUAACACCCGAAGCCGGUGGCCUAACCCCUUGUGGGGAGGGAGCUGUCGAAGGUGGGACUGGCGAUUGGGACUAAGUCGUAACAAGGUAACCAGAA